rnacentral:rRNA from 1 species
CGCCUCCCAAAAGGUAACGGAGGCGCUCAAAGGUUCUCUCAGUACGGUCGGAAAUCGUACGUAGAGUGUAAAGGCAAAAGAGAGCUUGAUUGCAAGACAUACAGGUCGAGCAAGGAUGAAAAUCGGACUUAGUGAUCCGGUGGUUCUGCGUGGAAGGGCCAUCGCUCAACGGAUAAAAGCUACCCUGGGGAUAACAGGCUUAUCUCCCCCAAGAGUCCACAUCGACGGGGAGGUUUGGCACCUCGAUGUCGGCUCAUCACAUCCUGGGGCUGUAGUAGGUCCCAAGGGUUGGGCUGUUCGCCCAUUAAAGUGGUACGCGAGCUGGGUUCAGAACGUCGUGAGACAGUUCGGUCCCUAUCCGUCGCAGGCGUAGGAAAUUUGAGAAGACCUGUCCUUAGUACGAGAGGACCGGGAUGGACGUACCUCUGGUGUACCAGUUGUC